rfam:Triticum aestivum genome assembly, contig: Triticum_aestivum_CS42_TGACv1_scaffold_062644_1DL
GCACUGGAAGUGAGAAUUGGAGGAAAGCAAACUGGAAAUCCGUCUCAAAGUUCUCAUGUUGUUCAGUUUGUUUUUCUCCAAUAUCUCACUUUCGGUCG